AGAGUUUGAUCAUGGCUCAGGACGAACGCUGGCGGCGCGCUUAAUACAUGCAAGUCGAACGAGAAGCCAGAGCUUGCUCUGGUGGAAAAGUGGCGAACGGGCGAGUAACACGUGAGAAACCUGCCCCAAAGAUUGGGAUAAGCCUUGGAAACGAGGUCUAAUACCAAAUACCUUCCUUUUAACACAUGUUAAAAAGAAGAAAUGCUCCGGCGCUUUGGGAUGGUCUCGCGAUCUAUCGGCUUGUUGGUGAGGUAACGGCUCACCAAGGCAUCGACGGAUAGCUGGUCUGAGAGGAUGUCCAGCCACAUUGGAACUGAGACACGGUCCAAACUCCUACGGGAGGCAGCAGUAGGGAAUCUUGCACAAUGAGGGAAACCUUGAUGCAGCGACGCCGCGUGCGGGACGAAGGCCCUAGGGUUGUAAACCGCUUUCAGUAGGGACGAAAGUGACGGUACCUACAGAAGAAGCCCCGGCCAACUAUGUG
rnacentral:rRNA from 1 species